rnacentral:rRNA from 1 species
CCUACGAGUGGCAGCAGUGAGGAAUAUUGGUCAAUGGGCUUACGCCUGAACCAGCCAAGUCGCGUGAGGGAAGACUGCCCUAUGGGUUGUAAACCUCUUUUGUAAGGGAGCAACGCCGGCUACGUGUAGCCGGACUGAGAGUACCUGAAGAAAAAGCAUCCGCAAACUCCGUUCCAGCAGCCGCGGUAAUACGAGGUAUGCGAGGGUUAUCCGUAUUUAUUGGGUUAAAGGGGUGCGUAGGCGGAAUGCCAAGUAAGCGGUAAAGUCGCGGGCCUAAACCUCGCUCCGUAGUGGAAACUGGCGUGCUUGAGUGUGGGAGAGGUAGGCGGAAUGCGUGGUGUAGCGGUGAAAUGCAUAGAUAUCACGCAGAACUCCGGUUGCGAAGGCAGCAUACCGGCGCCCAACUGACGUUGAAGCACGAAAGCGUGGGUAUCGAACAGGAUUAGAUACCCCGGUAGUC